GAUGAACGCUGGCGGCGUGCCUAAUACAUGCAAGUCGAGCGAACAGACGAGGAGCUUGCUCCUCUGACGUUAGCGGCGGACGGGCGAGUAACACGUGGAUAACCUACCUAUAAGACUGGGAUAACUUCGGGAAACCGGAUCUAAUACCGGAUAAUAUAUUCAACCGCAUGGUUCAAUAGUUCAAGACGGUUUUGCUGUCACAUAUAGAUGGAUCCGCGCCGCAUUAGCUAGUUGGUAAGGUAACGGCUUACCAAGGCAACGAUGCGUAGCCGACCUGAGAGGGUGAUCGGCCACACUGGAACUGAGACACGGUCCAGACUCCUACGGGAGGCAGCAGUAGGGAAUCUUCCGCAAAGGGCGAAAGCCUGACGGAGCAACGCCGCGUGAGUGAUGAAGGUCUUCGGAUCGUAAAACUCUGUUAUUAGGGAAGAACAAAUGUGUAAGUAACUAUGCACGUCUUGACGGUACCUAAUCAGAAAGCCACGGCUAACUACGUG
rnacentral:rRNA from 1 species